UCCGUAGGUGAACCUGCGGAAGGAUCAUUAAAGAGUAAGGGUGCUCAGCGCCCGACCUCCAACCCUUUGUUGUUAAAACUACCUUGUUGCUUUGGCGGGACCGCUCGGUCUCGAGCCGCUGGGGAUUCGUCCCAGGCGAGCGCCCGCCAGAGUUAAACCAAACUCUUGUUAUUAAACCGGUCGUCUGAGUUAAAAUUUUGAAUAAAUCAAAACUUUCAACAACGGAUCUCUUGGUUCUCGCAUCGAUGAAGAACGCAGCGAAAUGCGAUAAGUAAUGUGAAUUGCAGAAUUCAGUGAAUCAUCGAAUCUUUGAACGCACAUUGCGCCCCUUGGUAUUCCGAGGGGCAUGCCUGUUCGAGCGUCAUUACACCACUCAAGCUAUGCUUGGUAUUGGGUGCCGUCCUUAGUUGGGCGCGCCUUAAAGACCUCGGCGAGGCCUCACCGGCUUUAGGCGUAGUAGAAUUUAUUCGAACGUCUGUCAAAGGAGAGGACUUCUGCCGACUGAAACCUUUUAUUUUUCUAGGUUGACCUCGGAUCAGGUAGGGAUACCCGCUGAACUUAAGCAUAUCAAUAAGCGGAGGA
rnacentral:rRNA from 1 species